rnacentral:rRNA from 1 species
AUGAACGCUGGCGGCGUGCCUAAUACAUGCCAGUCGAGCGAACAGACGAGGAGCUUGCUCCUCUGACGUUAGCGGCGGACGGGUGAGUAACACGUGGAUAACCUACCUAUAAGACUGGGAUAACUUCGGGAAACCGGAGCUAAUACCGGAUAAUAUAUUGAACCGCAUGGUUCAAUAGUGAAAGACGGUUUUGCUGUCACUUAUAGAUGGAUCCGCGCCGCAUUAGCUAGUUGGUAAGGUAACGGCUUACCAAGGCAACGAUGCGUAGCCGACCUGAGAGGGUGAUCGGCCACACUGGAACUGAGACACGGUCCAGACUCCUACGGGAGGCAGCAGUAGGGAAUCUUCCGCAAUGGGCGAAAGCCUGACGGAGCAACGCCGCGUGAGUGAUGAAGGUCUUCGGAUCGUAAAACUCUGUUAUUAGGGAAGAACAAAUGUGUAAGUAACGAUGCACGUCUUGACGGUACCUAAUCAGAAAGCCACGGCUAACUACGU